UACGUAGGGCGCAAGCGUUGUCCGGAAUUAUUGGGCGUAAAGAGCUCGUAGGCGGUCUGUCGCGUCGGAUGUGAAAGCCCGUGGCUUAACCCCGGUUCUGCAUUCGAUACGGGCAGACUAGAGUGUGGUAGGGGAGAUCGGAAUUCCUGGUGUAGCGGUGAAAUGCGCAGAUAUCAGGAGGAACACCGGUGGCGAAGGCGGAUCUCUGGGCCAUUACUGACGCUGAGGAGCGAAAGCGUGGGGAGCGAACAGG
rnacentral:rRNA from 1 species